AUGGGUCCUGGGGCAGUGGUUUUUGAUUCCAAUGAAGAGUCUGGGUAUCUUGUUCUCACCAUAGUUAUACCAGGUCAUUUCUUCAUUUUCCAAGGACAGACACUGCGGGAAGGAUUUUCACUCAUUGGUAGCAAAGGCUGGUUGAAGAUUGUUAAGACAUGUGGAUUGUCUGUUGUUUGGAACAAUGAUAAAGGACAAGAGUCGCCUGUUUCUAGUACAGUUCAGUGGAGAGUCAAAGGAGCAGGCGCUGGAACACUGCUGCAGUUGUGUGCAGAAGCUGGCGCAAUACAUAACCGUUCAGGUGCCUAAUGGAAACAUCCAGGAGCUGCAGCUGAAUCCUGGCCCACCCCAGUCCCACCAGCACUCAGAAGAGCAGGUGUGUGUAAAGGCGGGCACAGGCACUCCAGACGGAAGGACCGCACUGAUGCAGUUAGCUCAGACACUUCUGGCCUCCAAGGAGCUGCCCCGUGUCUAUGAACAAUCUGCAUGGGGUGCAGAAGAAUUAGGCCCCUUCCUACGUUUGUGCCUCAUGGAUCAGAAUUUCCCAGCAUUUGUGGAAGAGGUAGAAAAGGAACUUAAAAAGCUGGCGGGGUUGAGAAAUUAAUUCUCUGUAUACAUAUAUAUAAUUAAUGAACUUCAAAGUAUUGAAUCCUUCCUCCUAAAAUUAAAGAAGAUAUUAGAAUAAAGAGUAUUUUUCAAAAAAAAAAAAAAAA